GCUGGGUGUGGUAGUGCACGCCUGUAAUCCCAGCUACUCGGGGGGCUGAGGCAGGAGAAUUGCUUGAGCCCAGGAGGUGGAGGUUGCAGUGAGCCGAGAUCCUGCCAUUGCAUGCCAGCCUGGGCAACAGAGUGAGACUCUGUCUCCA
rnacentral:SRP_RNA from 1 species